rnacentral:tRNA from 1 species
GGAUUAUAGCUCAGUUGGCAGAGCACUUGCCUAGCGUGCACAAGACCCUGGGUUCAAUCCCCAGUACCA